GGGGGUAUGGCUCAAUGGCAGAGUGCUUGACUACGAUCAUUUCGACAUCAAGAGGUUCUGGGUUCGACCCCCAGUACCCCCU